GCCGGCGUAGCUCAAUCGGUAGAGCAAGUGAUUUGUAAUCACUAGGUUGAGGGUUCAAUUCCUUUCGCCGGCU
rnacentral:tRNA from 1 species